AACAUAAUAUUCAGUUUAAGCGCUUGAGUUUAAACUCUUUAUUUUUACACUAUACGUCACAGUAUUUUUGCAAUGACCUGUAUAUUUGGCUCCUCCUCCUAACAAGUCAUUCAAUCUCGUUCGCGCAUGCUUAGUAGACUGGGUAUAUAAACCGAGCACGCUUCUGCAAAUUCCUUUUCGAUCCAGUCUCCGAGCUCCAGAAGCUGCCGUGAACUAACACGGAAAAAUUGCUUUUCGAUCCAGUCUCCGAGCUCCAGAAGCUGCCGUGAACUAAAACGGAAAAAUAUUGGAGAAAAAAUUAUGUACUGUAGCGGUUCUGAACAAACAUGGCAAUAAGACUUCAUUUUUGUGUUUUUUAAAGUAGCCGAAGGUAGAGUUGCUUUUCUUUAUUAUCUUUAAUAUUGUGUUAAAUUUAUAUUAUCUUACAAACCAAUUUUUCAAAUUUUAUUACGACCACGAGAUUUAGACAAUCUAGAUCUAUUACCGAUAGAUCUACUGUAGGCUUAAGGGCAGAGAAAGGUCUGAGAAAAAGUGAUCCUACUAAAGACAUUGUUGAUACUAUUUUGCAAUACUGCAGUAGGUUUAUUUAGCCUAAUAAAAACGAAAAAUAUUUGAUCACGUCAUCACUAGACUUUAUGACGUCACAAAUACCUUGUGACUAGUGGAGUAUACAGUGUAAUAAAUGCCCUGACAGUAUGUUAUUGUGUUAAUGUUUAUAAAGUAUUGAUAAAGAAACUUUAUCUACCCAUAAAUUAUGUUGAAUAAUUGUCCAGGUAGAUCUAGAUCUAUCCUUUAAUAUAUUAAACUUUUCACGUAGGGAUGCUUCAUAAUGGUUAGUAAUGUCAUUCGUAGACAUUAUAAGUCGUUAUACGUUAACCUUGAAUUUGUUGUAGACUCAGCAUUUUAAUUCUGAUUUUAUUCUACUUCUUUUACAAAUUGCUGGGGCCAUGCCAAACGACAACCUAACCUGUCACAAGUUUUUCUGGCUGUCAAGGUUUCUUUGAAGAGACUGGUCAACAUUAUGUUCUAGACAAUGGCACCAGAACAGAACACAGAAGUCGGUAGAACCAGCAGAAGUUGUGAUGCCUAAAUCAAGCUAAUUGUUGAUAAAGAUUAACCGAUAGACAGGUGACGUCACUGUUUUUAAAUACAAAUUAUAGUUAAAAUUUAAUCUAUGCUGUUUAUGACAAAAAUGACAUUAUCAAUUAAAUACACAUAUAUUCCUUAUUACAGAAGAGUUCUUUAAAAAUGCAGAAUAUUAACAAAAUGUCGGUAUUUAACAUAAAAUAUUCUUAAAAGCAACUGUAAGAAAAUGUUUUAAACUUGGGCGGAUACCUUGGAGUGAUGGAAUUUUUUGUAAUUUUGCACAUUAGUAAUUAUCUAUUACUGUAUCAAAUAAUACGAUAGAUCUAAUUUAUAUAAAAAAAUCUUUCCAGUUCUGUCAUGUUAAAAAUCUCUUCAGUCGAGUACCUUUAAGUUAUAAGACAUCAAGGACCUUUAAUUCAUAAAAUGGCAAUAAUAAUAAAAUAUUGGGGGAGACAGGAAAAAGAAAAGUCAAUUAAUGAUUUAAAAUGGGAGAACAUGUGACUAUUGAUACACUUACAUCUGGUCAUCACAAUAUUAUUCUUUACCUUUUUGAACAUUUCCCCUGUCUUCCAGAGAUGUAAAAUUAUGUCUAUAUUACAAUACAUUCGAGUUAACAUGAACUAGAUAUACGCUUUUGGUUUUGCUCUUGAAUAUAGUUUAAAUCUAGGGAAUAUGCCUAUUUGGAUAUUAAAUCUGCAUUCAUCCUUUGCGGGAACAUUAAUUGUAAAUAAACAUUUGCCAUUUUAAAGGGUCGGGUUGCACAAUUUUCAUUUUCAAAGUCAAGCAAUAAUUUCUAAAAUUUUAUAGAUAUCGUUCAAAUCGCAGUAGUUUAAACCUAUGACUUUCUGUCAUUAGGUUAGGAUUUUGGUUUUCUUACAUUAUAACAUGUGACGUUUAGUUAAGUAUUUACAUAUUAAGUGACUGAAAUCGACGCCGAAAACUAAGCCAUCCGAAUUCCUCAAAUUCAUGGUCUUGAGUGUGAGCAUCAGUUUUGAGUUUUAUUACUAAAUGCAAAAACAAAAGUAAUAAUAAUUAUUAUAAUAUUAAUAAUAAUAAGAAUGACAAUAAUGAUGCAAUGGUAUGGAUGCUAUUGCUCAACGGUUUCGUCGUAUCAAUUUUAAUGAAUUAAGGUUAAAUAAGUUUUUGAAUUUUAUAUUAAAGGCGAUCAUUCGGUAAUUAACGGCAUGGCUUAUGGGGAGAAUAGCAUUUCUUGAGAAAUUUUCUUUUAAGAAUUCGUACCAAGUGGAAUUGUUGCAUGUAUACAUCUGUUAGGAAACGAUGUGAAAAAUAAUAUAAUUAAUACUGCUGAGAAAUAUGAAAUUGUCAUAUAGACAAAAUAUAUGGAUCCAUGAAGAAUAAAUGAACGUGUGAUUAAAUUUGCUUUCAUCUAAUAUUUGUUUAUCUUAGAAAUAAACACUAAAAUAAAAAAAAAAAAAUAAUAAUAAUAAUAAAAUAAAAAAAUAAUAAAUAAUAAAUAUAUGUUCAAUACAGAAUACUAUUGCUGAUUAAAUGACACGUUUUCAAUGGUCAAGGUUAUUUCGGGAAUAGCCAUUAUGGCUAUUCCCGGAUUAACCACAACAGGCAUCUAGGCUUCCCUCCAAUACCAUUAAAGAUCCUGUUUCAUAAUUUGUUCAUGGUUUUAUUUCAUAAAUAUGAUGCUCAAAUUAAGAUCUGUCAAUAUUGUAAGUUCCAAUAAUUAUUAUUUAUAACGAUAUUACCUAAUUUAACAUUUCAUGUAAAUAAAGGGAGGUAAUUAGAAAUGUAUUUCCUAUAAUAAAGUCUAAUUUUCCAAUAAGAAAUGAAUGCAUAUAAUUUAUUGAUUGAAUAUGAUAUGCACAAAUGUUUGCAGUACACAUUUUACAUAUUCUUCAAUGUUUGGAAAUUGUUUUAUUUGCAUAAUUAUAUAGUAUAUAUAAUACAUAUAUAAUUUUUUGCAAGUGUGGUAUACACUCAGUAACAAUAUCAAUUACAAAACAUACAGGAUCUUUAAGCAUUUCUUCAGAUAUUCAACCGGAAGUAGAAAGAUUAGUUAAUUAUCAAUUAGUUCGUCACCCUCGGGCUACAGAAAAUCUGGAAUUGAGUGAUAUGUUUAUUUUCGGUUCUGUUUUAAUAUAGCCACCCUCAGUCUUACAUAAACUGAUAUAAAUGGCAUACCUGCUUUUGUAACAAUACGCACGUCACAAACGUUGUUGCAUUUGCCUCAAUUACCUAAUGUAAACUAUAAAGCCUUGUUUAUAAUACAAAGCAAUUCAUUGUGUGACAGUAGCAUAUCGAGGUUGAAGAAUACUAGUUUGGACUAGAAAUUAAACGUACACUUACUUAGAAAAUCUAAUGAAUUACUUAAGAAAUAUUUAUGCCUUCAGUUUGAAGAAAUUCUCUACUUUUCGUCACGUGUUACUGACAAUGUCCAAAUUUCCAUCUUGAAACAACUUACUAAAAAGUACAUGUUCGGCUAUAAUGAUAUAUUUAUUAAUUAACUAUAGGCAACAUGUCCGUUUUUUAACCGCACACAAAUGAUCUAGAUUCUAGAGUGUAUUGGUACGUUUAAUAGCAUCGCUUAAACGACAAAAUAGAAAAGGAAACGUAUUGAUGAUAUACAAUUGUAUCUUUAAUAGAUAUCCCAUUACAAAUGAUAAAGCUUCAAUGGCUGUACUUUCAUGCCAUUUAAUUUAAAACAGCAUGCCUCCAGAUUCAUGCAAAUUUUCAUGAAAAUUAAAAAAAAAAAAAAAAUUCAUGUUGGAUACAGCACUUACAACCUAUGUAAUUCAGCAAAAUGAAAGAAGUCAAAAUAUAUGCAAAAUAACCCUCAUUGCGUUAGUAACGCAGUAGAAAUAUGGUGGAAAAUACUGCAAAACAUAUUGCAUAUUAUAAAGAUAUUACUUCAGUUUUGAAUCUUUUAUUGUUCUUAUAAAUCAAGUACUUCUUUUGUUUGAUUUUCUUGAAAUAUUUUGAUUUCAUCUGGGGGAGUGCAGCUUUAAUGUAAAUUGCAUUAAAUUUAUAAGCAUAUGUUUUUAAUAACAUUAAACCCAACUCAUUCAGAAUAGGCUAUGUAUCCAGUUGCACAUGUAGUUAAGUAAAAGGUAGAUAGCCGUCAAAUAUUCGUUCAACUCGUAUGAUUCUUGUACAAUAUAUGUUUAUAGUAGUAUUUUAAGUGAACUUGAUAACAGGGUGUUUCUAACUAAGGAAGACACUGCUUUCAAAAUUAUAAAGAGAAACAAAAGGUUCUGCCAAUUGCCCGUAAUGAUAUAUUGGGCCGGCAGUCCGCCUUUGGGUUUAAAUUUGCAGUGUCUAUAAUAAAUAUAAUUAUGGGUGCAGUUUACCCACAUUUAAAUGUAUUUGUGAUACCGUCGACGGAUUACAAUGCAGUAAUUUAACUUCUAUAUCACCCUGGAAAAUGGAAAAAAAAAAAAAAAUCAUAAUGGGUGCAGUUUACCCAGAUAUAUUUUAUAAUGGGUGCAGUUUACCCAGAUAUAUUUCUAUCAGAUUAUCAUAUUGAACAUGGGUGCAGUUUACCCAGAUAUAUUUUGUUAUGGGUGCAGUUUACCCAGAUAUAUUUUUAUCAUGGGUGUAGUUUACCCAGAUUUAUUUCUAUUAUCUUAUGGGUGCAGUUUACCCAGAUAUAUUUCUAUCAGAUUGAACAUGGGUGCAGUUUACCCAGACUUAUUGCAAUUUUGGGUGCAGUUUACCCAGAUAUAUUUUUAUUAUGGGUGCAGUUUACCCAGUUAUAUUUCCUAAUUUUGAACAUAUAUGGGUGCAAAUUACACAAGGAUAUUCAUGGAAUUUUGAACAUUUAUAGCUGCAUUUCCCCAAAUACAAUAAUGUAAUUUUGUACAUUUAUUGGUGAAUUUUGGCCAAGUAUUGGUACAUUUUUCAUUGCAGAUAAUUCACGUAAAAAUUACCAAUUAAAAAUAAUAUGUUAUUAAAUUGUAUCGUUGUGAAGAACAAAUUCGUUAUAACAAUAACAUGUUUAAAAAUAGGUUUUCCCAAUUCCUUGCAUGGUUGGUUGGCUCAUCUCUAGUAAAGACACUUUUCAUUAGUUUUUGUGUGGCAUGUGCUCUUGUAUGUGAAGUUUUUGUGUGACAUGUGCAUUUCAUUUCAUAGAGCCUAAAAUUUAGUAUCUUCUUAUUUAAAUCUACCUGCAUAUUUGCUUGAACAUUACGGUGUGAUUCAAAUGGGUUCUUCUUCGUCAGCGACUGCUGAUGAAGAAGAAACUUUCUUUUAAGCCUAGAUAAAUACAAAUUUUCCUAUGGUUGUGCAACAUCUUUCCAAGCACUUAAUUAAUUCAGUCUCAGAUUUGUUUGCGACAUUCUUAUAGAUAUAUGGCUGUUCUCUUUGGUGGAACGUAUCUAUAGUGACAUACAAAAUAGUACAAACUUUAUUAGAAAUAGGGAUUGUUGAUAAAGUCUUAAAGCCCCAUGAUCUUUUUGAGUACAUGGUGCCAUUAACUCCUGUCUGGUCACAAUACUACGUUAAUUAAUUAAAUUUCGUUCGUGGUGUAUGCUUAAACACACCAGUAUCUGCAAUUAAAUCGUCAUGACUGAGUCAUUUAUUUUGGUUUAUGUUAGCCCGCUGUUGGCGGAAGGCUCUCUCAAUUCUUCUAGACCCUUUUGGCGAAAAUCUAACAUAAAAUUACAGGUUUUUGCAAUCGAUGACGAAGCAAAACCUAUUUUAUAAUAUUCUAUUUUAUAUAGAGGUUCAAACUCUAUUAACUUUAUGUUACUUAAUGACCAGUCAUGACGGAAAUUUUAUGCCAACCAUAAAUAAAAUAAGUUAAACAUAUAUGUUGCAUUUAUUAUCAAUUGUUCCUUUAAAGUGACUAUGUUGGAAAAAUAAUAUUCAGUUUAAGCGCUUGAGUUUAAACUCUUUAUUUUUACACUAUACGUCACAGUAUUUUUGCAAUGACCUGUAUAUUUGGCUCCUCCUCCUAACAAGUCAUUCAAUCUCGUUCGCGCAUGCUUAGUAGACUGGGUAUAUAAACCGAGCACGCUUCUGCAAAUUCCUUUUCGAUCCAGUCUCCGAGCUCCAGAAGCUGCCGUGAACUAACACGGAAAAAUACCCACCCGCCCUUCCCAUUUGCUUUGCUGUUGUCUCUUUUUUCUGUUUUCAGGUAAUAAUGACCGCCGCGAUACUUAGCCCUUCUUCGUCAUGGCUGGAAUUAUCAUUUCAACAGUCAAUAUUUGUUUUGCGACAUCCGGAAAUUUACCAACGUCGACUGCCAGACCCCUGUCAUUUGAAUCCGACGUCGGUUCAAAACAUACAUUUAACUGGCCAGUACAUAAGCAUAAACAUUUCGAACACCUGUGGGAUGCAACUGACUUUCGGAUAUUUGUAGAAUAGUCAUUAGAUAACCUGUAACCGAUGUCGGUACAAAACAAAACACUGUUAAUUAACUUAACCUAUGUGUAAAUAAAACACAUAUUGUCUUUAAAAAAGUAUUGAUAUAAUGGUUAUUAUCAUAUCAUUACAUUGGUAUAUCCAUGGUUUCAAGCAAGUUUACUUACAUUAUAUAUCACACUACUAUUUAAUUAAAAUAAUAUUUUUCUUAUAAAGAACGUUACUCUUUAUUGAGCUGUAUGUAUUUUGUAUUUUAUAUGUUUACUGGCAUAUCUGAGCAGGUCCGUUGUUCUAUAUUCCGAGGAAUAGUCUGAGGAGGUUUCCUCCGUGCAUGCCAACGGAUGCUACGGUUCCUCUUAAAAAAGGGGUUUUACGUAGGCGGCCAGUAUUCCUAAGACGAAUGUACGAUCAAACCUGUUGAGUAAUUGUUCUGGUUUGGAAUGUCCUAGACAUUCUAUGGCAGUUUUGAUCGUGAUAUGCUUGAUAAAUGUAUUUAUAUAUACAAAUGGCUGUAUCAGUCUUCUCAAAAUUUAACUAAUUUUUAUUGAUAAUAUUUAUAAAAUAUAUUUUAUAAGCUUCGGAUAUCAAGUGUUUAUCAUAUCUGGCAUUGUCAGCACAUUGUCUCUUUUUCGAAACAUAAUUUUAAUUGAUUAUAUCUGAAUAAACAUAUUAAGCUACCGAAGCAUAUAUAAACAAUAUAUAAAAUGUCACUUCCGACUGUUGGGAUACGAGUAUUAGUCAUAUAAUAUUAUAAUUGAUAUACAUGUAAUUGUUAAUAUUAUUCUAUAACAGAUUGUCUGGAAUAUUUAAUGCUCUUAUUCAGCCGUCGAUAUGGCGAAAAUCUAACAUAAAAUUACAGGUUUUUGCAAUCGAUGACGAAGCAAAACCUAUUUUAUAAUAUUCUAUUUUAUAUAGAGGUUCAAACUCUAUUAACUUUAUGUUACUUAAUGACCAGUCAUGACGGAAAUUUUAUGCCAACCAUAAAUAAAAUAAGUUAAACAUA